UGGUAAGUAGUUUAAACAAAACAAAUGAUUUCGACUCAUUAAAUUAUGAUACUCAUACUAACCAG
rnacentral:tRNA from 1 species